GCACCACCUGAGCCGUGAAUGUGGGGGGGGGGGACGUGGGGACAGAGGGGACAUUUUGGGGGUCCCCCCCCCCCCAGGUGUCCCUGGUCCCCUGUGGGUCCCCUCACGGUGUCACCGGUCCCCAAGGGGUCCCCUACUGGUGUCACCAGUCCCCAGGGGGUCCCUUACUGGUGUCACUGGUCCCCAGGGGGUCCCCACUGGGUCCCCAACUGGUGUCACCGGUCCCCAGGGGGUCCCCAGGGGGUCCCCAACUGGUGUCACCAGUCCCCAAGGGGUCCCCAACUGGUGUCACCAGUCCCCAGGGGGUCCCCUACUGGUGUCACCGGUCCCCAGGGGUUCCCCAGGGGGCCCCCAACUGGUGUCACUGGUCCCCAGGGGUUCCCCAGGGGGUCCCCUCACGGUGUCACCAGUCCCGAGUGUGUCCCCAGUGGGUCCCCAACCGGUGUCACCAGUCCCCAGGGGGUCCCCAACUGGUGUCACCGGUCCCCAGGGGGUCCCCUACUGGGGUCACCAGUCCCCAGGGGGUCCCCUCACAGUGUCACCAGUCCCCAGGGGGUCCCCAACCGGUGUCACCAGUCCCCAGGGGGUCCCCUCAGGUCCCCAGGGGGUCCCCCCGCAGUGCCACCAGCCCCCAGAGGGUCCCCUCCAUGGUGCCA
rnacentral:lncRNA from 1 species